AUUGAACGCUGGCGGCAGGCCUAACACAUGCAAGUCGAACGAGUGGCGGACGGGUGAGUAAUGUCUGGGAAACUGCCCGAUGGAGGGGGAUAACUACUGGACACAGUAGCUAAUACCGCAUACCAUCGGAUGUGCCCAGAUGGGAUUAGCUAGUAGGUGGGGUAACGGCUCACCAAGGCGACGGUCGCUAGCUGGGCUGAGAGGAUGACCAGCCACACUGGAACUGAGACACGGUCCGGACUCCUACGGGAGGCAGCAGUGGGGAAUAUUGCACAAUGGGAGCAAGCCUUAUGCAGCCAUGCCUCGUGGAUGAAGAAGGCCUUCGGGUUGGAAAGGACUUUCAGCGAGGAGGCGUUACGCGCAGAAGAAGCACCGGAUAACUCCGUGCCAGCCGCCGCGGUAAUAC
rnacentral:rRNA from 1 species